GACGAACGCUGGCGGCGUGCCUAAUACAUGCAAGUAGAACGCUGAAGGAGGAGCUUGCUUCUCUGAUGAGUUGCGAACGGGUGAGUAACGCGUAGGUAACCUGCCUGGUAGCGGGGGAUAACUAUUGGAAACGAUAGCUAAUACCGCAUAAGAGUAGAUGUCGCAUGACAUUUGCUUAAAAGGUGCAAUUGCAUCACUACCAGAUGGACCUGCGUUGUAUUAGCUAGUUGGUGAGGUAACGGCUCACCAAGGCAACGAUACAUAGCCGACCUGAGAGGGUGAUCGGCCACACUGGGACUGAGACACGGCCCAGACUCCUACGGGAGGCAGCAGUAGGGAAUCUUCGGCAAUGGACGGAAGUCUGACCGAGCAACGCCGCGUGAGUGAAGAAGGUUUUCGGAUCGUAAAGCUCUGUUGUAAGAGAAGAACGAGUGUGAGAGUGGAAAGUUCACACUGGGACGGAUCUACCAAAA
rnacentral:rRNA from 1 species